UGACCUCAGCUCAAGCAAGAAUACCCGCUGAACUUAAGCAUAUCAAUAAGCGGAGGAAAAGAAACUAACAAGGAUUCCCCUAGUAGCGGCGAGUGAAGAGGGAAAAGCUCAAAUUUUAAAUCUACCUGGUUCCCAGGUCGAAUUGUAUUUUGAAGAAGCGAUAUCUGUGUUGAGGUCUGGUUCAAGUUCUUUGGAACAAGACAUCAUGGAGGGUGAGAAUCCCGUGCAUGAUCAGACCAAGAUACUUUAUAUUCGUUUUCUAAGAGUCGAGUUGUUUGGGAAUGCAGCUCAAAUUGGGUGGUAGACUUCACCUAAGGCUAAAUAUCAGCGAGAGACCGAUAGCGAACAAGUACUGUGAAGGAAAGAUGAAAAGCACUUUGAAAAGAGAGUUAAAUAGUACGUGAAAUUGUUGAAAGGGAAACGAUUGAAGUCAGUCAUGCUAGUGAAAAUUCAGUUUGACGGGUUUUAGGUUUAGGAGUAAGAGGUAGGGUCAAACCGUCUCUCUUUUAAACUUGGAAUUUGUCGGAUGCACUUUUUCUUUGGCAGGUCAGCGUCGAUUUCGGGGGUUGUAAAAUACAUGGGGAAAAGUAGCUCUGCUUCGGGAGAGCGUUAUAGACCCUAGGAGAUGCAGCCUGCGGGAUCGAGGAUUGCAGCAAAUGCCUUUGCUUGUCGCCUGAUUUCUGGUUGUUACCUCGUUUAUGACAACAUUCUUGUCAUCGAUGAGUACUAAUGGCUACUAGGUUAGAGCGAUCUAAAAUUUGCUAAGGAUGCUGGCGUAAUGGCUUUGAACGACCCGUCUUGAAACACGGACCAAGGAG
rnacentral:rRNA from 1 species